rnacentral:rRNA from 1 species
GAUGAACGCUAGCGGUGCGCCUAACACAUGCAAGUCGAGCGCGUGUAGCAAUACACGAGCGGCGAACGGGUGAGUAACACGUUGGAACCUGCCCCGAACUCAGGGAUAACCCGCCGAAAGGCGGGCUAAUACCGGAUAGUCCCGUAAGGGUAAAGAUUUUUCGGUUCGGGAGGGGCCUGCGAAUUAUCAGCUAGUUGGUAAGGUAACGGCUUACCAAGGCUAUGACGAUUAGUUGGUCUGAGAGGAUGACCAGCCACAAUGGAACUGAGACACGGUCCAUACUCCUACGGGAGGCAGCAGUGAGGAAUCUUCCGCAAUGGGCGAAAGCCUGACGGAGCGACACCGCGUGAAGGAUGAAGGCCUUUUUGGUUGUAAACUUCUUUUCUGAGGGAAUAAAUGAUGAAGUUACCUCAGGAAUAAGCACCGGCU